rnacentral:SRP_RNA from 1 species
CCGUGCAGCUGGGGAGUUAGCGGUGCCCUGUACCUGCAAUCCGCUACAGCAGGAGUGAUGCCGAACCGAGGGCGUUUUGUUGUGGGGCUGCCCCUGAUAAGUGAUGUUGACAUUUGGGUCUUGCGCAACAGGAAUCCGUGAACCGUGUCAGGUCGGGAACGGAGCAGCACUAAGCGGAACCUCCUGUGUGCCGUAAGGUCGCCUGGAUCGAGUUAACUGUCAGGGUAACGUCCAUGGCAUGCGUUCGAAGGGAGGCGCACGG